rnacentral:rRNA from 1 species
AGCGAACGCUGGCGGCAGGCUUAACACAUGCAAGUCGAGCGGGCGUAGCAAUACGUCAGCGGCAGACGGGUGAGUAACGCGUGGGAACGUACCUUUUGGUUCGGAACAACACAGGGAAACUUAUGCUAAUACCGGAUAAGCCCUUACGGGGAAAGAUUUAUCGCCGAAAGAUCGGCCCGCGUCUGAUUAGCUAGUUGGUAGGGUAAUGGCCUACCAAGGCGACGAUCAAUAGCUGGUCUGAGAGGAUGGUCAGCCACAUUGGGACUGAGACACGGCCCAAACUCCUACGGGAGGCAGCAGUGGGGAAUAUUGGACAAUGGGGGCAACCCUGAUCCAGCCAUGCCGCGUGAGUGAUGAAGGCCCUAGGGUUGUAAAGCUCUUUUGUGCGGGAAGAUAAUGACGGUACCGCAAGAAUAAGCCCCGGCUAACUUCGUGCCAGCCGCCGCCGUAA